rnacentral:lncRNA from 1 species
AUCUAUUUCGGGGGCUCGGCUGCGUGGCGCCCAGGACUCUCCAGGGUCUCCCAGGAUCGCUCCCCGAAUUCGAGUCGCCCCCUCUCUCUUUCGGGAAUACCAGCUGAUGUCAGUCCGCCAGCCAAAACCAGGGAGGAGAAGCGGGAGCCAGCCCUCUGGAGUCGGGAGAAGGAAGAAGGUGCCACAGCUCUUCAGGACCACGGUUGGGAGAAAGAAUGGAGGGGUUUUAGAACCUUCAGUGUGCGACUUCAUGUGCCAGUCUUCAUCUCAGGAUCUCAAGCUCUUGGAUCAUGGGCACGGAUAACCUGUUGUCCUCCUCUAUGGUCAAGAGGCUGCUUUUGCAAAGAAUCCAGUGGGAGAGAGUCAAUGGCCUGCUUGACGUGAACUCCAAAGUCCUCCUGGCCAAGGGUCAUCCUGCCUGGAGCAGGGCAAGAGGUGACUUGACCCUUAGGAAGAGUGGCAUCUCUAAUCUUCAACUUCCACCACCACCACACACACAAAUGCAGAGCCACCCAGGAGGAAGUAAAAAGUGCUAGGGCCUUCUACACCUUGAAAUUAUAUGUGGAGCAUCCUGCAAUAAGCAUCUCUGUGAUGCACAGUCAUUCACACCUGCUGGUCUCUCCCCCAGCUGUCUGCAAAAUGAAGAGCAGAGCACAAGAGAACAUGUGAGAAAGAGGCAGGGUCGGGGAAGCCAGAAGUCCUGGCUGGCAGGGGCUGAUCCUUCCUAACUAGAGAGAGGAGACACACUUCUUGAGAGGGCAGGGAGAUAGCAGGGAGAACUAGAGGAGCUAUAGCCAGGGAGCCAGCUAAGGGAGGGAAGACAAAGGAGUGGAGACACAACUACUCCAUCUCUCCCCAGCCUCCUCAUCUCCAGAAUGAUGGCACACCUGGGAGGGGCCUGACUACCUUUCAGGGGGAAAAAUGGUCACUGGGCCUGGUGCGGUGGCUCAUGCCUGUCAUCCCAGCACUUUGGGAGGCCAAGGUGGGUGGAUAACCUGAGGUCAGGAGUUCGAGACCAGCCAGAACAACAUGGUGAAACCCCAUCUCUACUAAAAAUACAAAAAUUUGCUGGGCGUGGUGGUGCCUGCCUGUAAUCCAGCUACUUAGGAGGCUGAGGCAGGAAAAUCGCUUGAACCCGAAAGGCAGAGGUUGCAGUGUGCCGAGAUUAAGCCACUGAACUCCAGCCUGGGCAACAAGAGUGAAACUCUGUCUGAAGGAAAAAAAAAAAAAGCCAUUGGAGAAGACGGGGUCCUUCCAGAGAAGCUGAUCAAGUCAUAUUACUCAUCAACUGCUGGGGACCUAACAGUCACUACCAUGUAUUGAACACUUACUAUGGGCUGCAUAAUGUGCCUACUGACGCAUGUGCUGAAAGCUUUGCAUGUAUGUCUUAAAGCCACACCACUAUAACAUCAGAAUUAUCUUCUCCAUGUGUGAAAUGGGGAAACAGGAGGAGAAAGUUUACAAUCCCAGAGCUAGUAAUUGGCAGAGCCAGGAUUUAAACCCAGGAUAUCUUGAUGCUAAAGUUCAUGUCUUAACCAUUAUGAUUUAUCACCUCCUCUCACUGCAGAUCAGAAUACCAAUUUCUUACUGGGUCUGGAAAGGAGGAGAGAAGGAUAGAGAGUUUCUUCUAGGACCAAAUUGAUUCCUCCACAAAUAGGAAGAUCCCCAGACUGUGUGCACACACCCUCCUCCUCCUUCCUUCUCCAACCCUGGCUGGACCAUGACAUCACAUGGUGGAGGCUGUUUUUUAAAAAGAACUCAGGCCAGAUUUACAAGAAUGAUGCUCAGGCAGCGUGACUGUCAAGGACCGUGGCCAAGUGACCCAUAGCACACACCCAGCAGUGCUGAGAACAUAGCUAGUCCCUUAGCACCUGGGGCUGACUCAUGGUUGCUGUAGGACCCAAUGCCAGAUGCCAGGAUUGCUUUCUCCCUCCAUUCAUUAGGACUGUCCCAUGAAACCCUCCCCAGGAACCCUUCUACCCCAUCCCGGCAUGCCAGGAGCCUGGAUACUGCAUAACACAGGGUACUCAUAUUUGUUUACCAAGCCUUGAAGAUGACAGGCAAUAUGCUGAUAUGCUCAAUGCAUCAUACAAAUUGUUUUAUUUAAAACUGAACUAUUAAAUUAAGUAUCAUAGCAACUCACUUUACAGACAAGGAAACUGAAGCUCAAAGGUUAAGUAAGGGCCAGGCAUGGUGGCUCACUCCUGUAAUCCCAGCAGUUUGGGAGGCUGAGGUGGGAGGAGGAUUGCUUAAGCCCGCGAGUUAGAGACCAGCCUGGCCAACAUGGUGAAACCCGCCUCUACUGAAAAUACAAAAAUUAGCAGGGCAUUGUGGCACAUGCCAAGGUGGGCAGAUCACCUGAGGUCAGGAGUUCGAGACCAGCCUGGCCAACAUGGUGAAACCCCAUCUCUACUAAAAAUACAAAAAUUAGCUGGGCGUGGUGGUGGGCGCCUGUAGUCCCAGCUACUCAGGAGGCUGAGGCAGGAGAAUCGCUUGAACCUGGGAGGUGGAGGUUGCAGUAAGCCAAGAUAGUGCCACUGCACUCCAGCCUGGGCGACAGACAAAAAAAAAAAAAAAAAGAAGUUGGAGCAGUGUGAAGAAGAGGUGAGAACAACCCCCGGACUGAUCAAAGCCCACAUGCCACUGCAUCCCGCGUCCAGCGCCUACAUCCUGCCACCGUCGCUGCCACCACCAUGCCCAAGAGAAAGGCUAAAGGGGAUGCUAAAGGAGACAAAGCCAAGGUGAAGGACGAACCAUAGAGAAGAUCCACAAGGUUGUCUGCUAAACCUGCUCCUCCAAAGCCACAGCCCAAGCCUAAAAAGGCCCCUGCAAAGAAGGGAGAGAAGAUACCCAAAGGGAAAAAGGGAAAAGCUGAUGCUGGCAAGGAGGGGAAUAACCCUGCAGAAAAUGGAGAUGCCAAAACAGACCAGGCACAGAAAGCUGAAGGUGCUGGAGUUGCCAAGUGAAGUGUGUGCAUUUUUGAUAACUGUGUACUUCUGGUGACUGUACAAUUUCAAAUACUAUUUUUUAUCAAGUUUUAUAAAAAUGCAGAAUUUUGUUUUACUUUUUUUUUAAGCUAUGUUGUUAACACACAGAACACUUCAUUGUUGUUUUUUGGGGAAGGGGCAUAUGUCACUAGUAGAAUGUCUCCAAAGCUGGAUUGAUGUGGGGAAAACACAUUUCCCUUCCAGUUUUGAAAGAUUUCCUCUUGGCUCCCAGGAGGAGGGAUUCCCUGACUUUGACACACAUGGCCACCUUGGCACAAAAGCCUUGUGGUAUGGAAAAACAAAUUCGUUUUUAUGUCCUCUUCUCCCUUUCCAUCCUUCAGCAUAGACUUAACUCCCUUAAGCCCAGACAUCUGUUGGGACCUGACCUCUAGUCAUUGGUUACCAGUGUGUCAGGCAAUCUGGAUUUUCCAGUGAUGCCGCUGAGAUGGCACCUGUCAAAAGAGUAGUGGUUCCAUUUCUAGAUUGUGGAUAUUCAGAUAAAUUCUGCCAUUUUCAUUUCACUUCAUGAAAGUCAGGUUCAGCCUGUGAAAAGUUGUUAAACAACAUGCUAAAUGUGAAAUGUCAACCCUCACUCUAAACUUUCCCUGUUCAGAGCAUCAGAUGAAGACUUCAGUGGCUUUCUGAUUUUUGGUAGUCCAUUGAAGAAGGGAGUUUGAAAGUUGUUGUAUACUGUUAACGAUUGUCUGCCCAUGUCCUGCCUGAAAUGCCAUGAUUGUUUAUGGAACGUAUCUUUAAUAAAGCUGGAUACAGCUUGAAAAAAAAAGAAGUCAACUUGCUACAGAGAAUUGAAUAGGAAAGAAUGAGGAAGAUUGGCUAGAAGGGCAACCUGACAGGGCCCCUCAGGGCACACAGGUCUUUCCCCACUCAGUACUGUCCCUCUCCUGAUUAUGCUUACUUUGUCUAUAGACAGUACCUUUUCACAUUCUUUCCUGCAAGACACAUUAACACAUUAGAUGGACAAUGAAAAAAAAAUACAUUAUUUUCUAGAUGAUAAGCAAGGAUCCAACAUAUGUUAAGCAAACAUGACACUAGUAACAUAUGGGUGUUUAACACAUGGGUGUGAUGUCUGUAAUGUGAGCAUAAGUAAUGUUACAAAAGGCAAUAUUUUCCUCAUCUGUAAAAUGGGGGUGAUAAUAAUAUCUGUAAGUUACAAGGUAUAAAGCACUUAAAGCACAACUUGGCCCAUAGUUAAUACUACAUUAUUCUUACUACUGCCUUAGUGCUUAAGAGCACACACUUUGGAGUCAAGUAAACCUGGGUUUGCAUCCCAGCUCCAUCGCUUAUUUGGCUGUAUCAGACUUUGUGCGACUGGGCAUGGUGGCUCACACCUGUAAUCCCAGCACUUUGGGAGGCUGAGCCAGGCGGAUUACCUGAGGUGAGGAGUUCAAGACCAGCCUGGCCAAUGUGGUAAAACCCUGUCUCUACUAAAAAUACAAAAAAUUAGCCAGGUGCAGUGGCACACACCUGUAAUCCCAGCUACUUGGGAGGCUGAGGCAGAAUUGCUUGAACCUGGGAGACGGAGGUUGCGGUGAGCCAAGAUUGCACCACUACACUCCAGCUUGGGCGACACAGCAAGACUUCGUCUAAAAAAAAAAAAAAGACUGUGUAAGUUACUUAACUCCUCUGAGCUUGUCAUCUUAUCUGCAAAAUGGGAUCACUAGCGUGUAUCUCGCUGAGCGGUACAGAUGAACUAUGUAAAGCAUUUGGCCCAAUGCCUGGCACUGCUAAGCAUGCAAUAAAUGGAAGUUACUAUCAUAAUGUGUAACACAUAUAAUUAUGACAAUUAUAUUUCCAAGAUAUUCUGGGAUCUUUACAGUUUCAUAAUUUUGCUCUUUUUACUAUACAACACUCCUUUUAUUGAAACAAAUACAGAUUUUGGAGUCAGACAGACCUAGUCUGGAUUUGAAUUCCAGCUCUCCUUCUUACCAGCCUGGGGCCAUGGAGAAUGUUGUCCAUUUCCCUGAGCCUCAGUGUUCUUCUCUGUAAAAUGUGGAUGAUACCUGACUCCCAGGCAUUUUGCCAGGAUUACAUGGGAUUCCUACACAGUGCAAUGUCUAGUGAUAAUAUAAAUACUAAAAGCAACUUGUUAAAUGUAUAAAUAAAUGUGAUUUAUUUUUGCUCCUUUACAUACAGUAUCAUGGAUAUAAUUUGUAGAUGUGUGUACUGUGAAUACAAUGGCCACUUCUCUUGCUCCCA